ACUCGUCAGCGUAUCUCGCAGUGUCCGACCACGCAGAACUCCAUUCCUCUUCCCACGACAGCCGACCGAUCGAUUCCCCGCCGCCGGCCUCACCGGAGCACAGGUUGGAGGCCCCUCCCCCUCUGCUUGAUCCGCUGGCCGCUGUAAAGUGGCCCGUCUGUUGAUGCUGUAGAUGUCUUGCAUGUCUAGGUGCUUUCUCUGAUCCAACAAAGAAGUAUUUAAGAAUACCUAUGGCGACACGCGCCAGCUCAUGACGACGUACACGCCGGAGUACCUCGGGCUGAGGCAAGGCCCCGGGUUCUGGGGAGACGUCGCCGGGUACGGGAAGGGGGUCGUCGUCGGGCUGCUCGAUGUCGGCAUCUACGGGGCGUGCAUUUACCAUGGCGAAGAAGGCAAAGUCGCCGGCAAGAUGGUGGUAUGCGAGGCCGUCGACAAUCUACUCCCCUACAACACGUCGGAGAAGCCCAUCGUCUGUGCCAUAAAGAGCGCCGGCGAGGCUGGCGUGGUGCUGAUCAACACCAAGAGCCGACGGCUGCACCACCGACCUUGAUCGCAGCUAUGUCAGAAAUUCAGAAUAGAAGGUAAAAUAGAAAUGCACGGCAGCCUCAGGUCUUCCACAUUUGAGUGUGAUUCUUCCCAUGGGCCACGAGAAGGUAAAAAGACUCGAAGAGCCUGCUCCGGUGGAGUGCACUGAGCACACUCGACGAAUUAGCAGCAAAAAAUCAUAGACCAAUAAUUCUGAAGGCUCAGGUAAAGAACAGAAUUUCUCAUGAUAUUAUGUCUAGUCAAUUUGUAACCAUGUAUCUUAGCGUGCAGGUCUGUUUAACAUGUUCUGUAAUGAUCAGUAUGCCCAAAAUUUGGAAAUCGAUUUCAGAUCAUCUGUGCUCCUGCUCUGAAUUCCAUUGUUUUCACAGUUGCUGAACUUGUAAAGAGAGCCCAGGAACCAAAUAACCGCAGCACGAAAUGUACAAUGCAAUACCCACAACUGAGGCACAGUAAAGCUAUUUGGAAAUCGAUUUCAGAUCAUCUGUGCUCAUGUAUUAUGUCAGUACUGACUACGGUAUGUGCUCCAAUUAUAAUG